rnacentral:rRNA from 1 species
UCCGUAGGUGGAUAAUUAAGUCAGAGGUGAAAUCCUGCAGCUCAACUGUAGAAUUGCCUUUGAUACUGGUUAUCUUGAGUCAUUAUGAAGUGGUUAGAAUGUGCAGUGUAGCGGUGAAAUGCAUAGAUAUUACACAGAAUACCGAUUGCGAAGGCAGAUCACUAAUAAUGUACUGACACUGAGGGACGAAAGCGUGGGGAGCGAACAGGAUUAGAUACCCUGGUAGUCC